AUUGAACGCUGGCGGAAUGCUUUACACAUGCAAGUCGAGCGGCAGCGCGGCCUUCGGGCUGGCGGCGAGCGGCGAACGGGUGAGUAAUGCAUCGGAACAUGCCCAGUCGUGGGGGAUAACACUUCGAAAGAAGUGCUAAUACCGCAUACGUCCUGAGGGGGAAAGCGGGGGAUCGCAAGACCUCGCGCGAUUGGAGUGGCCGAUGUCAGAUUAGCUAGUUGGUGGGGUAAAGGCCUACCAAGGCGACGAUCUGUAGCUGGUCUGAGAGGAUGAUCAGCCGCACUGGGACUGGGACACGGCCCAGACUCCUACGGGAGGCAGCAGUGGGGAAUUUUGGACAAUGGGGGCAACCCUGAUCCAGCCAUUCCGCGUGAGUGAAGAAGGCCUUCGGGUUGUAAAGCUCUUUCGGCAGGAACGAAACGGUGGGCUCUAACAUAGUCCGCUAAUGACGGUACCUGAAGAAGAAGCACCGGCUAACUACGUG
rnacentral:rRNA from 1 species